AAAGAUGUAAUAAUUCCUUUUAUUCUAAAAGCAAAAGAAAAUCCUAAUAUCCUACAUCAUGAAGCAUGACACCUCCUCCUUCUCUCUUCUUGAAAAACAUGUGCCUCCAAUUUGUAGCAUCAGACCGUGAUUCCUUCGCUGCAGCCCAUAAGCCGUGACACUUCCAACUCUCUCCAAUUGAAUCACUUUACUUGCUUGAAUGCAAAUAUAAAUUAAAGCUAACCAAUUGCCAACAUGCUCAUCCAAACAAACUAAUCUACUUCUCCAACAUUCAAUCAUUUAAAAAGUAAUAUUUUUUUUUCUCAAAUAAAGUUGCAUAACAACUCAUUCCAGCAGCGUCGUUCUUCAUCUCCAGAGGACACGUUCCAAAAAAAAAAGAAAUGAAAAAGAAAUCUACAGAGUAAGUGGCGGCUAAAUGAAAGCAAAAAGGGAAUCCUCCUUUAUAUUGAUUGAAUCAGCGUUGCAAGUUGAACUAACUAAUACNAUUGCUAAAAGAAAAGAAAAGAAAAUAUACUUCACCCUCAUCCAUAAUCCAAUAAUGUAAACAUGGUUUUUUUAAGAACAAGCUCUCUAAAAAUUUGUUUCCAGCCGAGAGUCUCCAAUUUCAAUGUGACGGCUGCUUCCCUUAAAUCUAAGCCAAAUGUCCUCAAAAAUAAGGGUGGGGUCCAUCUCCUUUGCAAAACCCUAGGUGUCAUGUGUCAUCUAUUCUAACAUUUUGGGCUUAAACUAUUUUAUCAAAAAUUGGCCCAUUAUUUACAAAUUUAAUUA
rnacentral:lncRNA from 1 species